rnacentral:misc_RNA from 1 species
AUUGCUGAAAGGGCUGGUUUGUAAUUUUUCCACCCAAGAAGAAGACGAAGAUCCAUUGGAUUAUUCAAACAAACUUUCAUUUAUAAUGUUAAACUAUGGCUUACAAAACAAGUAAUAUCAGUCGUAAAAAUUACAAACCAGCCCUUUCAGCAAUNUUAAAUUACAAUUAUUAUUAAUGGGUGGUUUUGUUUUACAUCAACUAAAACAUGAGAAUAAAACAAUGGCAAAUCAUUUCCCGUCCAUAAGAUGAAAAAUCUCAGAUGUAUUUUGUUCUGAGACCAUUCCCAUGAAAAAUAUAAUCACCACGGUACAAAACUGGGUUUGGUUCCAGGAUAUGGCCAAAAUGAACAAAUGCACUUCAUGGAGGAACCCUGAAAAAUAAUCACGAGAAUGGAGUACCUAUGUGUGUUUAUUUUUCCCCAUUCUGGUCAUAUCCAAAGGCCAAAUCAAAUACCUGGCUAUAGUCACCUACAAAGUGGACAUCUAGGCCCUCUUUCACAUUAGGUGCAAGCUCAUCAAAAUCCCUUCUGUUAGCUGAUGGGAAUAUGAUAGUCUUCACUUCACUCCUCCUUGCUGCUAUUGUUUUCUCCUUAACCCCGCCAAUGGGAAGAAUUUUCCCCGUUAGUGUAACUUCCCCAGUCAUUGCUAGAUCUCUCCUGACAGUCUUCUUCAUGGCAAGGGAAAGCAAGGAUGUGAUCAUGGUGCAACCAGCACUAGGCCCAUCCUUGGGGGUGGCCCCUGCUGGAACAUGGAGAUGAAGCUUGGAAUUAGCAAAGAAGGGGUUAUCUGGCUCUUUCCCAACCAAUAUAGCUCUGGCAACUGUGUGAGCAAUUUGGGCACUUUCUUUCAUAACAUCUCCAAGUUGACCAGUAAGUUGAAGAGCCCCUUUCCCCUCUCCUUGCUCAACCUGAGUGGUCUCUAUAUACAAUGUAGAACCACCCAUUGCAGUCCAUGCAAGACCCAUCACAACUCCAAUUGGAGUCUGUUCAUAGAUGCGCUCAGCAUGGAAAACAGGUUUGCCAACAAAAUCAGCUAGGUUAGAUGUGUCAACCAACACCUUCUCAACUGCCCUAGUUACUUCACUUUCUUCAAUUUUUUCAGUUUCAGUUGCUUCCUUUGAAUCAGCAGGUUGAUCUACAGGACCCUGAAUUUGAUCAGAUGGCUGAUCAAUUGUCACAGUCUCAGCUUCUACAGAUGUUUCAUUAUUUUGUUUAUUACUGCUACCCUCUACUGAUUCUGAAGAGCUUCGAACAGAUUCUGCUUUUGCUUUUUUUGUUUCUCCAGAAACAUCAGAUUCGCUCAAUUCUCCUUGACGC